GCAUUGUUGGUUUAGUGGUAUAAUGGCCGCCUGCCACGCGGCCGACCCGGGUUUGAUUCCCAGACAAUGCA
rnacentral:tRNA from 1 species